rnacentral:pre_miRNA from 1 species
AGAGGAAUAGCUGGGUCAAAUGGUGGAUCCAUUCCCAGCUUUUCAAGGAAUCUCCAUACUGCUUUCCAAAUUAGCUGCAGUAAUUUGCAGUCCCACCAGCAGU